rnacentral:rRNA from 1 species
AGUAACGGCGAGUGAAGCGGCAAAAGCUCAAAUUUGAAAUCCUUCGGGAAUUGUAUUUUGAAGGUGGGUUUGGUUAGGAAAAGUUACUUUAAGUCCAUUGGAAAAUGGCGCCAUGGAGGGUGAUAGCCCCGUAAAAGUAUCCCUUUUCCUUUUAUCCAUUCCCUCCAAAGAGUCGAGUUGUUUGGGAAUGCAGCUCUAAGUGGGUGGUAAAUUCCAUCUAAAGCUAAAUAUUGGCGAGAGACCGAUAGCGAACAAGUACAGUGAUGGAAAGAUGAAAAGCACUUUGAAAAGAGAGUGAAAAAGUACGUGAAAUUGUUGAAAGGGAAGGGCUUGCAAGCAGACACAACCUCGGUUGGGCCAGCAUCGGAGUGGGGGGAGACAAAAAAGAAAAGGAAUGUAACUCAUU